rnacentral:snRNA from 1 species
AUACCUUUCUCGACCUUUUCGCUAAGCUAAAGUGUAAUAUUUGUUCUUAUCAGUUUAAUAUCUUAUAUGUGGACCAUCGGUUCACUUUGAUAUUAAAUUUAUUUUAUAGGUAUCGACUAUGAUUGUGUGCCGUCACAACAUAC